AAGAAUCCACUCAAAACCUUUCGUUAUUCCUACAUAUAUCUACAUCAGACAACAAAACAAGAGAGAUGAGGAUGAAAACACAACAAGAUAUAAACGCGCUAGACCCUAGUAAGAAUGAAACAUGUGUCGUAAUUUGUUUGAAUGUAUUCAUAAGAUUAUUUGGUGUCUAUGAUUACUAUGUAGUUUUUUCGGAUGUAUAUGUAAAUGGCUUGAUUGUCUCUGAGAGUUAUUGUGAGAUUAGGACAAUAAUAGUUGAUUUGAUCGUAUAGAUGUUUCUAUAGAUGUCUUUGCAAAUUCGUGUGGCUGUUGGUUUAAUUGUGUGAGAUAGUGUUUUUUUUUGCGUACAACAUUCUAAGAAUUGAGCUUGAAUAUAUGUUUCGGGUGAUUUGAUUGUGUAAAAUAUAGUUUGGAUCUCUACAAAAGUUUAUGCCUUAUUUCUGUAGACUUAUGCAGAACAAUAAAUUAAGGAUUAAUUUAUUGAUGUUAUAGAAAAUAAUGUACAAAUUGUGUAAAA